rnacentral:lncRNA from 1 species
GGGGAAGAGGGAGAAGGCGGAAGGGAGUGACGUAGACGAGCAUGAAACACGGGAUAAGAAGAAGACGAAGAAGGGGACGACGCUUCCCUCGAUGAUCAAGAACAAGGAGAAGAGGAGUGCCGUCCAUGCCAAGCUCAAGCGUGAGAAGAAGAUCGAGAAGCGGAAGCAGGCCAAGGAACGAGACGCUGCCAUCAAGCGAGCCCUCGACCUCGGCGAGGAGGCAAGUUCUUUCCCCCUUGAUCUCCACCUUUUGCUUGGCUUUCGCUUUUCGGGUUAUGAAUCAUAUUUCAUGAUACAUAGCCUCCGGAGAAGAAGGUGCCGCGGACGAUCGAGAACACCAGGGAGGUCGAUGAGACUGUCUGUCGACCUGAUGAUGAAGAGGUGAGCGUGCUGUUCAGUUUCUGUUUUCUUCUCUUGCUUUCUACUAGAUGUUGGUCAGUUAUUCCUGAUAAUGGCUAGUCCAGUUAUUUGCAGGGAAUGAUGCCGAUGAAUUUAGCCAAGUCCUGAAACAAGAAGUGACGCCAAAGAUAUUAAUCACCACAAAUCGUUUCAAUUCCACAGUACGUUUUUAGUGUUCGUCUUUCCAUCACUUUUACAUUUUCUUUCGUUGUUUAUUGUGUGUCCUUCUUGCCCUAUCUUUAAAUAUUUUUUAGGAUUCGUGGAAUCCAUAUUUACUAGGAACUAAGGCCACCACUGAAUUCUUACUUUUUUUAAAAUGCAUGCAGAGAGGUCCUGCCUUCAUUCAAGAGUUAUUGUCUGUGAUUCCAAAUGCUCAUUACCAUAAGAGAGGAACCUAUGAACUGAAGAAGGUGAAGCAUUUGUGAUGAACCAAAAUUAUGGUUUCUUAUUUUGCUGAGCUUUUAUUAUGAUGAUUGUUUCCCUUAUUGCAGAUUGUUGAAUAUGCAAAGAACAAAGACUUCACUUCAGUUAUGGUGGUCCAUUCAAAUCGGAGGGAACCAGGUUAGAAGCAACAGGGGAGAUAGUGACUCUUGUUUUGUCAUUGAUUGUUGUUUGUUUUUACAUAUGUAAUUCUGUCUUUAAAUACCUAUUUUUUUAGAUGCUCUGUUGAUCAUAAACUUGCCUGAUGGACCUACGGCACAUUUCAAACUAUCUAAAUUAGUCUUGCGGAAGGAUAUUAAGGUACAUUCACUUGCACUUGAAAAAUGCAUGAAAAAUAGCUGAGUUCCAUCAUACUUUGGAGUUUCUCUUCUUGCUUCCAUACAUUCAUUUAGUAACUAGAGUAUGUACGAGUUGACAUGGUUUAUUUCACUGGCAAUAUGAACUCAAAUUUUUACUUGCGCUUUUGAAACAUGGGGACAUCUUAGAAAUGCAUCCUGGAUUAUUAUACUUAUAGAGCACAAUGUUGUCAAGUAUUCACAGAUCAUUUAAAUUUUAUAUUUCUUAAAUAAUUACCGAAGUUUAUGAUAUUGUAUGAUUGCCUGUCUUGGAGAGGAUAAAUAAACCACAACGUCAUCCUUAUAGCUUCACACAUAAUCUUAGCUUCUGAACCUGAUAAGCAUUACUUGUAUCAUAAUAUCCCAGCUGCAUAGUAGUUCAAAAAAUUGAAAAAUACAUUAAAAAAAGGGUUUAAUAUCCUUUGGAAUAAAGCAAUAAUAAAAAAUUCAUUAAUAAACUUAAUAAAUAGUAAUCCAAAUUAGAUCUAGUAUGGUGCCUUUGAGCCCCUUGGAGAUCCUUAAACUGUCUCAAAAAUCUCCUGAAUAUUGAUUUGAGUUUCAAGUCAUACUGUUCGUAAAAUGGGGUUCAUGCCAUGCUGAUGGCGUACCUGCAUUGUUUUGGCUUGGCAUGGAUCCCUGGUUGAUAUAUGCUGCUUAGCAGUAUCAUUCUAGGACAUUACUAGAAUGCCUUCUCAAGCAAGGCAAAUCAGUAGUAUAAUAGUAAAUUUUGCUUGACCUUGUUCCUCAUUGUCAUUGUUCAUGUAUGUCAAUUUGGAAAUAUAGCUCUUGUUCUGCAUUUUACUGCAAAUCAGUUACAAUAUAUGACUAUUGCCACAUCUUUAAGUUGUACUUUUGAUAUAUUUGUUAUAGUACUACGGUCGGAGGAAUGAAUUUUUGUCGAUUUGAAUUGUCGCAAUUUUAUAUUAUGUAUGGACCAAUAAUAUGAAAGUUGCAUCUGUGAUUUUCUUGCCCUUGUGAUACUUAUAAAAUGUCUUGAUGAUUGCUGCAUCUGUGACAUGCUGAUGCUCUACCUUGUUCAUUGUCUCGAUCACCUACGAACCCUAAGCAUCCACAGAAGGCUCUAACAAAUAUUCUCAAUCGAAUGACUUUUAGUGCAGAUUAGCCCAUACCAUAAAUUGAUUUCUUAUUAAUUUAUCAGUAUAUGUGCAAGCAUUACAUUAUAGAUGUCUAAUUUAUAACUAUCUGGACGUUUAAUGCUUUAUAAACAUUCAUUUUCAACUGUUUGGCUACAUCAUUUAAACUAUUGGUUUUUAGUUUCAUAUACAUCAUACACAUCCCUUUAACUAUGGGUUUAUUUUGGCAACCAGAAUCAUGGCAAUCCUACAGACCAUAAGCCGGAGUUAGUACUGAACAACUUCACCACACGUCUUGGUCAUCGUGUUGGAAGGUUAAAGUUUUACUUAAUUCAAGAUGUCAAAUGAUACUCUCAUUUCUCCUUCUAUAGUAUAAGGAUUUGUUUUCCUCUUCUUGUUUUUUCCCUUCUUUACAAACUUAUAUUUCUGCUACCUCUAUUGAUUAUUUGAAUUUGACUCUUUUUAGGAUGAUACAGUCACUAUUCCCUCAAGACCCCAACUUUCGUGGUCGUCGAGUUGUAACAUUCCAUAACCAGCGAGACUUCAUUUUUUUUAGACAUCACAGGUAUAUCUAUUUUGUUGACUACUUAUAUUUGUUCUUACAAAAUAUGUUGAGGAUCUUAUGCAGAACCUGGAAUCUUUCUCAAGCCAUACCAAUAGUAGCUCUUCUAUGUCUCAUCAUUGAACCUUUUUUUUGCUUUCAAGGACUUGCUUUGAACACUGGCAGUAUAUUCUUAGUAACUGUUUGAAUUUCUUCAAGUGCCUCUAGACAUACUUUGUUUAAAUGUCCUUUGCAAUUUUUGCUCAAGUCAUUGUUGUAUAGUGUAUUCUUUGUGCUGGUAGAGUGAAAUAAUGGGCCUAUUUAGAGGUCUUGGACUGUUAAAGGUCAUUUGGUUCUAGCUUAAGAAUUAAUUUGAGCUGCUAUUGUUCAAGGUGUUGGUCGAGGAAAACAUGUACAUGUUUAGGAAACCAUAGAUGGUCACCUAGAUUGAGUUGGAAACAGUGGAGAAUAUUGGUCCAGACGUCUGUGGCUGAUCUCUUAGAUGGGUAGCAAAUAUCAGUAUGUCUUUGAAAUAUCUGUGCUAUUUGAGGAAAGCUGUUUGUCAUCUUUAAAAUUAAGAGCAAUUAGAUCUCGAAUCUGAUUCCAAUGUGGGUCCAACAACUGUUACAUCUAUUGCCGGAACACCUGUGGUGAUAUAUAUCGCCGACUAAUUAUUUAUCGUAAUGAAAACUACUUUUUCCGAACAAUAUGAAAACUGAGAUUUCUGUAAAGCUUCCUGUGGGAAGGUAAACAGAGUUCUACUGGUCAGAAGUAUCACUGAAUUAUGAUGUAUAUGGUCUAAUCAGUAAUAUCUAGAAACUGACUAUAAAAAUGAUCCUGAAAACAAAGAAAAAAGUAGUAACCAUUGUGGUUUUCCCGAGUUUCAUAGAAACUGAAAUAAAAAAUUGUAGAUGUUGAAAUUGCUGAUGGAAUUAUGGAUGUAACAAAUUGUAUAACAUUGUGUAAAGAUGGCUCCGAAGUAGGAUGAAACACUUCUAAUAUUGGAGAAGAUAAGGGCUUCAUCUUAUCAUGAAUGUUCUUCUUGGAUGGGAGAUCCUCCCUCCUGUAGAAUUUUGUCUCUAGUUUGUUCAGCUGUGCGAUGUGAAUUCUACUAGUCAAAUGAACAUCAAGGAGGAAUGCUAAAUAGUCUUUUAAAAGUUGAGAUUCUCUUCUUUUUUUUCCAUUAUGUUUUUUAAGGUUCUUUACACAGGCACAUACUUAAUGUUGGUACCAUAAACCGAUCUCAACCUAUACUAAGUGUUUCUUCUUUUGUUUGGGUAGACUUGUACGAAAACCCUUUAAUUAUUUAUGCCAUCUGGAAUUAUGUCUCAUUUUCUCUGCAAUUAUUAGGUAUAUAUUUGAAUCCAGAGAGAAAAAAGAUGACUCCAAGGACAAGGCUGCCAAGAGCAAGAAUAUAACUCAAGAGAAAGUGAUUGUACGCCUUCAGGUACUGUUUAACAUGAGUGUGGCACUUUGUCAUUUGAUGAUAUGCUAUACAAUAUUUAUUACUUGGACCAGACACACACCAUGAUGCUUUCUCACCCAAUUUUUAAAUGUUUGAAGACUGUUUUAUGUUAUGGUCUGAUCUGUAUUCCCCUUUUUGUUACACUAGCAACACAAUUUCUCUGUACCUAGAGUAUUCCUGUAAACUUUACUGCUUAGUUAUCUGACCACACUCAACAGCUGUUGAAUUGUGACCUGGGACAUGGAUUAUUUGAUUUGACAAUCUGACAUGGUAUUUUGUCAUGUAUUGGCCAUGACAUUUUGUUCACAUUUUAUUCUUUUUGAAAAUGCAGGAGUGUGGCCCUCGCUUUACACUUAAAUUGAGGAACUUGCAACAUGGAACAUUUGAUUCAAAGGGUGGAGAGUAUGAGUGCGUUCACAAGGUACUCUUUUGUGAUCUUGGUAUAGAAUUUACCAUGUUCUCGGAUUUGCUUUUUUCCAUCAAAUUUACCAUGCGUUGCAUUUGAUUCUAGCCGGAGAUGGACACGAGCCGCAGGAGGUUUUUCUUGUAAGCCAGAGAUUUUGCUUCAGAAGAAGACCUCCCAUUUUAUUAUGGGAACUCUUCUACAAACAUGCCAAACCACAUUUGUUAUUGAUUUUAAUUGUAGUCGUUUCUUUCCCCACUGUAUGUGGAGGGUUCGAUCAAGUGUGGGCAGGAUUUCUCUGCAUCAAGAAAUAAGUUAAUUAGCUUGCAGUCCAAUUACAAUGGUUUCUGGGCCUUUUGUUUCGUAGAGCAUUUGGUUAAGAUUGGUCAAAAGCCUCUCUGAUAAAGAGUGGCUGUCCCUUUGCUGGAAGGGAAGGAGAUGACCUCUCUCUUAAUCGGCUUUAGAGCAAAGACCCGCUUGGGAGUCGUAGGAGAAUGUCAAACUGAACUAAAAGGAUAUGUAUUCUGCAAUCAGAUAUGAACGAAAUUGUUGAUGUUAUAUGUAUGUUUUAAUACCAUUUUUAAAUGCUUUAUUGAUAUGCUUUUCCAUGGGACAUGUUAUUACAAGCAAGAGGGCACUGUGUCAUCCCGCAUGGCCACUUUCUGCAGUUUAAUGCGUAAAUGGCAGUCAUAUACAGGUUGCAUUUAUUUUUAUUAAACAACAAAUUAAAACAAUUUUUUUCCUACAGAGAUUGCUGUUUUUUAAUUAAGAGGAGAUGAUGAUCCCCUUGGAUGCAACAUCAGUAUUCAUACUCUAAGAUCUAAUCCAUGGAUGCACUUAAUUUCUGUAUGUCAAUGAUUGAAUAGACAGGCUUUUUAAGGAAUAAAUUGAUUAAAAAAAGAUAUCUGGAUCAAAUUACAUAAACAUUUAUUUAUUCUAAUGUUUUCAAAAUCAAUGGUAAAAAAUAGUGAUUCAUUUAUUAUAUUAAAAAUGAACGAUAUAUUCUUAAUCGCUUCUAAUAAUUUUGUUUUGAUUUUUUAUCCACCUAGACUAUAAAUGACGAAAAUAAUAUUUUAAAGCUGUCAAUCUGUAUCGAAUGAUGAUUGAUUGAUAAUUUCCUAUUAUUUCGUCAAUCCGAUAAUCAAAAGCACAUCAUCAACAUCAAACACUAAAAAAUAAAAAAGGAGAAUGGUUAAAUAAAUGAUCGGACUCUGUUCUUCACAAGCGGAAGAAGGCAGAUACCUAACAAGAACAUAUACCAAACAUUCCAAAGUUGGAGGUUUUUCCUUUUUUUUUUGGCAUGCGAGAACAAAAUUGGGAGAACCUUCUUGGAAAACAUCUUGAGAAUUGAAUCUGCUUAUCAUUCAAUCUAAGUUUUGGUGUCACAUAGAGCAUUGUGUUGGACUGAGAAGUUAGGAAAACAUCAAUGUAUACAAUCUUAUCCAUACAAGUAAAGAGACUGCAUCUGGUUGUUUGUGAGCUCAUCACCAUGUCACCUCUCUCAAUCACUUGUACAUCCACAUAUUGUUGAUGAUCUGAAUGAGUAGACUAUUGUCUUGACAGUUUCUAAAGGAAUUUAAGAAAAUAAGAUAAAAGUAAUUGUCUCAGUUCUACUUGUUGUGUUUCUGUUUCCAUAUUAUUUCCAAGUCGAUGUAUACGCAUUGGCUUGAAUCAGUGGUCCAGCAAAUCAAUUGGUGACAUCCGGCUUGGCUCUGGUCCGAUUCUGAUAACUAUACUGGCAUGUCAUGCAUGUUUCCUUGUACUCUAACUCGAUGCCUCUAGAAGUACUCCCCAAAAGAAAGCAGUCCCGGCGGCAGAACCGCGGCGAAGGAUCGGGCGGUGCACGGCGGAGGCCGAGGAACGACAGACACCCUGUUGCUGCCUUUUAGCCCUUUAAAGGAGUUCAGGCCGUGAAUGUGGGUCACACCGGGCUUCCUCCUCAUGGAGGAGUUCAGGCUGGAACAUGACACUGCAGCUGCCGCUGAGAUUCCUGUUGCCAUUGGGAUAUAUGAGGACCCACAAUUCACAUUUCCAUCGUCUUCCCGACCCGAGCAAGAUGACGAAUGGAACUUGACAAGAGUUGCAAACUUGGUAGAAGCAUACUUACUCUCUCGUGGUGGUUUACUCUAUAUACAAUUUGAUUACGAAAUCGACGACGAACUCAGCCGGCUUUUGGUCGAAAGUGGUCCGGUUCAUGAGGAAGGUGACUUCGGCUCGGUUCGGAUGUGAGCUAUACUUUAAUAACCGAACCGGGAGUUCGGCUUUGUCUCGAUCUCAUACCGUGUCGACUCCCCGACUCCGCUUCGCCCAAACGCCGUUGAGGCGUCGAUAGGUUUCCAUCUCAUCCGCGAACGAAGCAAGCGACCGUCAAGAGAAGUAUUGUUUUGUUCGUCCUCCUCCUCUUCCAUCUUCUUCCGCUCCUUUUGCUGCGCGUCCCGUUUGCGUUGCUGCCGAAAGAGGGAGGAUGUAGUUGAUGCCUACUAUGUGUUCGACUUCUGUUCUGUUUGGAAGAACCUUGAGCAAAAGGAGAAACGUUUUGCUGAUCCACGUUUCAUUUUGAGAAUCUUAAUGAUGGUCCGUUUUCUUUUUAUUAUAUUACGCUGCCACCUCACGUGUGCGUCUCCUUCGAUUCUUCUCCUUUGAAGUACAAGGAUGGGCGGCGGCGGGGGGAAGAGGGAGAAGGCGGAAGGGUGUGACGUGGACGAGCAGGAAACACGGGAUAAGAAGAAGAAGGGGACGACUCUUCCCUCGAUGAUCAAGAACAAGGAGAAGAGGAGUGCCGUCCAUGCCAAGCUCAAGCGCGAGAAGAAGAUCGAGAAGCGGAAGCAGGCCAAGGCACGAGAGGCCGCCAUCAAGCGAGCCCUCGAC